rnacentral:lncRNA from 1 species
AUGCCAUAGAGUCUAGAUCUUUAAAGCUUCUUACUACUAAGAACCAAGAGGUUUCAUGCCAUAAGUACUUGGUUGUUUGCCGCAUAACAAACUCCUAAAAGAUAGGAGAGGAGGCACGCACAAGUAGAUUGCUGCACAAAGGUUUUGUCGCCUUAAGGUGUGCUACUGUUUGAUCCCUAUUUCAAUGCCCUAAAGUCCAAAAUUUGGGGGUUCUUGUUGCUGGUCAAGAGAGGGUUGCAAGCCCUUUGGGACCGGAUCUUUUAUCGUAAGAAAAAUCUUCAAAAGAUUA